ensembl:snoRNA U3 Small nucleolar RNA U3
UAGACUAUACUUUCAGGGAUCAUUUCUAUAGUAUCCAACUAGAGAAAUGCACUCAAACACUGGAGGCUUUCAAGAAGAGAUUGGACUUUCAAGAAGAGAUUGCCAUCUGUCAGA